rnacentral:tRNA from 2 species
GCUCGGUUGGCAGAGUGGUUGAAUGCACUGGUUUUGUAAUCCAGACCGAAAGGCAUCGCAAGUUCGAAUCUUGUGCCGAGCACCA